rnacentral:rRNA from 1 species
CUGCAAGUCGAACGAUGAUGCCCAGCUUGCUGGGCGGAUUAGUGGCGAACGGGUGAGUAACACGUGAGUAACCUGCCCUUGACUUCGGGAUAACUCCGGGAAACCGGGGCUAAUACCGGAUAUGAGCCGCCUUCGCAUGGGGGUGGUUGGAAAGUUUUUCGGUCAGGGAUGGGCUCGCGGCCUAUCAGCUUGUUGGUGGGGUGAUGGCCUACCAAGGCGACGACGGGUAGCCGGCCUGAGAGGGCGACCGGCCACACUGGGACUGAGACACGGCCCAGACUCCUACGGGAGGCAGCAGUGGGGAAUAUUGCACAAUGGGCGAAAGCCUGAUGCAGCGACGCCGCGUGAGGGAUGAAGGCCUUCGGGUUGUAAACCUCUUUCAGCAGGGAAGAAGCGCAAGUGACGGUACCUGCAGAAGAAGCGCCGGCUAACUACGUGCCAGCAGCCGCGGUAAUACGUAGGGCGCAAGCGUUGUCCGGAAUUAUUGGGCGUAAAGAGCUCGUAGGCGGUUUGUCGCGUCUGGUGUGAAAACUCGAGGCUCAACCUCGAGCUUGCAUCGGGUACGGGCAGACUAGAGUGCGGUAGGGGAGACUGGAAUUCCUGGUGUAGCGGUGGAAUGCGCAGAUAUCAGGAGGAACACCGAUGGCGAAGGCAGGUCUCUGGGCCGCAACUGACGCUGAGGAGCGAAAGCAUGGGGAGCGAACAGGAUUAGAUACCCUGGUAGUCCAUGCCGUAAACGUUGGGCACUAGGUGUGGGGCUCAUUCCACGAGUUCCGUGCCGCAGCAAACGCAUUAAGUGCCCCGCCUGGGGAGUACGGCCGCAAGGCUAAAACUCAAAGGAAUUGACGGGGGCCCGCACAAGCGGCGGAGCAUGCGGAUUAAUUCGAUGCAACGCGAAGAACCUUACCAAGGCUUGACAUGCACGAGAAGCCACCAGAGAUGGUGGUCUCUUUGGACACUCGUGCACAGGUGGUGCAUGGUUGUCGUCAGCUCGUGUCGUGAGAUGUU